CGUACACUCCUACGGGAGGCAGCAGUGGGGAAUAUUGGACAAUGGGCGCAAGCCUGAUCCAGCCAUGCCGCGUGAGUGAUGAAGGCCCUAGGGUUGUAAAGCUCUUUCACCGGUGAAGAUAAUGACGGUAACCGGAGAAGAAGCCCCGGCUAACUUCGUGCCAGCAGCCGCGGUAAUACGAAGGGGGCUAGCGUUGUUCGGAUUUACUGGGCGUAAAGCGCACGUAGGCGGACUAUUAAGUCAGGGGUGAAAUCCCGGGGCUCAACCCCGGAACUGCCUUUGAUACUGGUAGUCUUGAGUUCGAGAGAGGUGAGUGGAAUUCCGAGUGUAGAGGUGAAAUUCGUAGAUAUUCGGAGGAACACCAGUGGCGAAGGCGGCUCACUGGCUCGAUACUGACGCUGAGGUGCGAAAGCGUGGGGAGCAAACAGGAUUAGAUACCCCAGUAGUCCCAUGAU
rnacentral:rRNA from 1 species